GUUUAUGGCCAUGCCACCCUGAACAAGCUCGAUCCCGGCUGAUCUUGGAAGUUAAGCAGGAUCAGGCCUGGUUAGUACUUGGAUGGGAGACCACCUAGGAAGACCAGGUGCUGUAGCCG
rfam:Pteropus alecto contig95135, whole genome shotgun sequence.